rnacentral:tRNA from 1 species
GGAGGUGUUGUUUAACGGUUAGGCUAUUAGAUUGCAGAUCUACAUAAUAAGAGUUCGAUUCUCUUCACCUCUU